rnacentral:lncRNA from 1 species
ACAAAUGAAAUUAUAUGCUAUUAUUGCUUGCGCGUAUUAUCGUUUCAUGCAGAAGCGGGUUUGUGUUCAGGAACAAUAUAAUGGAGGUAAUAUUUGCUGGCUUAAUUUGCUUUGUUUGGAAUCUAUAUUAGUACUUAUUAUUUUCUAAAGAAUCACACACACACCCAAAUACAACUCUUUUUGAGAGACUAAGUUNNNNNNNNNNNNNNNNNNNNNNNUUGAAAUUCUCUUGGAUAGCCAGAAAAAUUAUUUAUCUUCUUAAUUUCUCAAAUUAUUGUUUUUUUCCUUAUUAUAAAGGGUCAAUUCGUCUCUGAGUUCUUUUCAUUUUGUACCUCUAAUGUGUGUCCUCUUUUUUAAUUUGCACCAUAUCCUACCUUUUUAAUGAUUUGCAUCCUAUCUUUUUGGUUCUUUUUCCCUCCCUUAUUUGUUUUUAAAAGAAUAGCUAUUAUUAUUCUUUAUUGUGUAUAACAAUGGAGAACUGAAAAGUGUGCAUCACCUUUCAAGUGUUUUCCGCCUUCUCCUCUUCAUCACCGUAUUCUUCGUUUGAGCAUUUGUUAUUCACUUGAUUUAGUUUAUAUGCAAGGACCAGGUGGAAGGAAGCAGAACAUGCAGAUAAACAGUUCAGUAUGUAGUGCUCUGUCAUUUAUUCUAAAAGCACCAAAUCAAUACGGUCAAGCUACUUUGAUACAGGAAUUGAUGCAUUUUCUUGAAUUCGAUCCUCAUGUCUUUGCUCAUUUCAGAUAGAGAUAAAACGCAUGGUGUGCGCGUCCAUAAAUUUUGUAUUAGAAAAUGACAUUUGUUUUUAUUAUCAUUUAUCCAUUUCGUAAACAAUUUUUAGUAGUACAUCUUAUUUCGGAAUUACACCAAAUAUAUAUGUUUUGACAUGGAGGAAAGAUUUGUGUACUCCAGUUUAUUUUUUGUAGAGCCCUAGCAAAUUUUGCAAAAAGAAAUAACUUGAUGCAAAUUGAUUAUCGGUCUUUUG